rnacentral:lncRNA from 1 species
AGCUCUGGUAGGUGCAUCAUAGUUAGUGCCCCUGGGUGCAUCAUAAACCGGUCCUCUCUGCCCAUCAUAAGCUGGCCCUCUCUGUGCAUCAUAACCAGGUCCCUUUUGAGCAUCAUAACCAGGCCCUCUCUGUGGAUCAUAACCAGGUCCUCUUGGUGCAUCAUAGCCAGGUCCUCUAGGUGCAUCAUAGCCGGGUCCUCUAGGUCCAUCAUAACCAGGUCUGCUAGCAGCAGGGCCAGAUUGAGGUCCAGCAUAAGCAGGAGUACCACCACCACCACCACCACCACCUGCAGCAGCAACACCACCACCU